rnacentral:rRNA from 1 species
AGAGUUUGAUCAUGGCUCAGGAUGAACGCUAGCGGGAGGCCUAACACAUGCAAGCCGAGCGGUAGAGAUUCUUCGGGAUCUUGAGAGCGGCGUACGGGUGCGGAACACGUGUGCAACCUACCUUUAUCUGGAGGAUAGCCUUUCGAAAAGGAAGAUUAAUACUUCAUAAUAUAUUGAUUGGCAUCGAUUGAUAUUGAAAGCUCCGGCGGAUAGAGAUGGGCACGCGCAAGAUUAGCUAGUUGGUGAGGUAACGGCUCACCAAGGCGAUGAUCUUUAGGGGCCUGAGAGGGUGAUCCCCCACACUGGUACUGAGACACGGACCAGACUCCUACGGGAGGCAGCAGUGAGGAAUAUUGGUCAAUGGGUGCAAGCCUGAACCAGCCAUCCCGCGUGAAGGACGACUGCCCUAUGGGUUGUAAACUUCUUUUGUAUAGGGAUAAACCUACCCUCGUGAGGGUAGCUGAAGGUACUAUACGAAUAAGCACCGGCUAACUCCGUG